AUUGAACGCUGGCGGCAUGCCUUACACAUGCAAGUCGAACGGCAGCACGGGAGCAAUCCUGGUGGCGAGUGGCGAACGGGUGAGUAAUGUAUCGGAACGUGCCCAGUCGUGGGGGAUAACGCAGCGAAAGCUGUGCUAAUACCGCAUACGAUCUAUGGAUGAAAGCGGGGGAUCGCAAGACCUCGCGCGAUUGGAGCGGCCGAUAUCAGAUUAGGUAGUUGGUGGGGUAAAGGCCCACCAAGCCUGCGAUCGGUAGCUGGUCUGAGAGGGCGACCAGCCACGCGGGGACUGAGACACGGCCCAGACUCCUACGGGAGGCAGCAGUGGGGAAUUUUGGACAAUGGGCGCAAGCCUGAUCCAGCAAUGCCGCGUGCAGGAUGAAGGCCUUCGGGUUGUAAACUGCUUUUGUACGAGACGAAAAGACUCGCUCUAAUACAGUGGGUACAUGACGGUAUCGUAAGAAUAAGCACCGGCUAACUACGUGCCAGCCGCCGCGGUAA
rnacentral:rRNA from 1 species